rnacentral:rRNA from 1 species
AUUGAACGCUGGCGGCAGGCCUAACACAUGCAAGUCGAACGAGUGGCGGACGGGUGAGUAAUGUCUGGGACACUGCCUGAUGGAGGGGGAUAACUACUGGAAACGGUAGCUAAUCCCGCAUACCAUCAGAUGUUCGCAGAGGGGAUUAGCUUGUUGGUGGGGUAACGGCUCACCAAGGCGACGAUCCCUAGCGGGUCUGAGAGGAUGACCAGCCACACUGGAACUGAGACACGGUCCAGACUCCUACGGGAGGCAGCAGUGGGGAAUAUUGCACAAUGGGCGAAAGCCUGAUGCAGCCAUGCCGCGUGUAUGAAGAAGGCCUUCGGGUUGUAAAGUACUUUCAGCGGGGAGGCGUUACCCGCAGAAGAAGCAACGGCUAACUCCGUGCCAGCCGCCGCGGUAAUUC